rnacentral:rRNA from 1 species
GACGAACGCUGGCGGCGUGCUUAACACAUGCAAGUCGAACGGAAAGGCCCUGCUUUUGUGGGGUGCUCGAGUGGCGAACGGGUGAGUAACACGUGAGUAACCUGCCCUUGACUUUGGGAUAACUUCAGGAAACUGGGGCUAAUACCGGAUAGGAGCUCCUGCUGCAUGGUGGGGGUUGGAAAGUUUCGGCGGUUGGGGAUGGACUCGCGGCUUAUCAGCUGGUUGGUGGGGUAGUGGCUUACCAAGGCUUCGACGGGUAGCCGGCCUGAGAGGGUGACCGGGCACAUUGGGACUGAGAUACGGACCAGACUCCUACGGGAGGCAGCAGUGGGGAAUAUUGCACAAUGGGCGGAAGCCUGAUGCAGCAACGUCGCGUGCGGGAUGACGGCCUUCGGGUUGUAAACCGCUUUCGCCUGUGACGAAGCGGGAGUGACGGUAAUGGGUAAAGAAGCACCGGCUAACUACGUG